GACGAACGCUGGCGGCGUGCUUAACACAUGCAAGUCGAACGGAAAGGCCCUGCUUUUGUGGGGUGCUCGAGUGGCGAACGGGUGAGUAACACGUGAGUAACCUGCCCUUGACUUUGGGAUAACUUCAGGAAACUGGGGCUAAUACCGGAUAGGAGCUCCUGCUGCAUGGCGGGGGUUGGAAAGUUUCGGCGGUUGGGGAUGGACUCGCGGCUUAUCAGCUUGUUGGUGGGGUAGUGGCUUACCAAGGCUUUGACGGGUAGCCGGCCUGAGAGGGUGACCGGCCACAUUGGGACUGAGAUACGGCCCAGACUCCUAUGGGAGGCAGCAGUGGGGAAUAUUGCACAAUGGGCGGAAGCCUGAUGCAGCAACGCCGCGUGCGGGAUGACGGCCUUCGGGUUGUAAACCGCUUUCGCCUGUGACGAAGCGUGAGUGACGGUAAUGGGUAAAGAAGCACCGGCUAACUACGUG
rnacentral:rRNA from 1 species